AUAUAUAUAUAUAUAUAUAUAACAAAAAUAAUCUUUUAACCUUAAAAAUAAAGCCCUUCCAUCUUUUUUAUUAGUUUAAUGUUAAAACAAUUAAGCCAGCCAUGAGCCGGGCCUGGCUGGGCCAGCGCGGGCAGCCCAGCCCUGGCCCCGGCCCCAGCCCCGCUGCGCCGCCUCCCGAGCCGCCACCCCGCCGUGGCACCCGCGCCCUGGCGCUGCUCGGAGCCCUGCUGGGUGCAGCCACCGCCGCCGCCGUCAGGGUCUGCGCCCGCCACGCCGAGGCCCAGGCGGCCGCGCGGCAGGAAUCAAUGCUGAAGACCUUCGGAACAGAUGGCCUUUUUCUCUUUUCCUCCUUGGACACUGACGGGGACAUGUACAUCGGCCCCCAGGAGUUCCAGCCCAUUGCUGAGAAGCUAACAGGGUCAACUCCUGAGGCCAGAUACGAGGAGGAGGAGCUGCCCCCUUGACCCUAGCGAGGAGACGCUCACCAUAGAAGCCUGAUUCCAGCCUCUUUUCCCAGAGACCAUGACCAAGAGCAAAGAUGGCUUCCUAAAGGUCUCCCGCCUCACCCUGUCCGGCCUCCGAAACUGGAUGACUGCGGCCUCACCGAGGGCAGUGUUUGCCGCCCGCCACUUCCAGCCCUUCCUUCCCCUGCCAGGCCAGGAGCUGGGCAAGCCCUGGUGGAUCAUCCCCAGUGAGCUGAGCGUCUUCACCCGCUACCUGUCCAACAACCGUUUCUAUCCACCGCCGCCCAAGGGCAAGGGGGUCAUCAUCCCCCGGAUCCUGAGCAUGUUCCACCCGCGGCCCUUCGUGAAGACCCGCUUUGCCCCUCAGGGGGCCGUGGCCACCCUGACUGCUGUCAGCGACUUCUACUACACUGUGGUGUUCCGGAUCCAUGCCGAGUUCCAGCCCGACUUCCCCUUCUGGUUCUCCCCUUCUGGUUCUCCCCUGCUGAGUUCACCGGCCACGUCAUCCUCUCCAAAGAUGCCACCCACAUCCGCGACUUCCGGCUCUUCGUGCCCAACCGCAGGUCUCUGAAUGUGGACAUGGAGUGCCUUUAUGGGGCCAGUGAAAGCAGCAACAUGGACGUGGACAUCGGCUGCAUACCCCAGAUGGAGCUGGAGGCCACAGCCCCUCAGUGCCCUCCAUGAUCCUGGAUGAGGGUGGCAGCGUGAUCGACAGCCACCUGCCCUUGGGGGAGCCCCUGCAGUUUGUGAUUUGAGGAGAUCAAGUGGCAGCAGGAGCUGAGCUGGGAGGAGGCCACCUGGCGCCUGGAGGUAGCCAUGUACCCCUUCAAGAAGGUCUCCUACUUGCCAUUCACUGAGGCCUUCCACCAAGCCAAGGCUGAGAACAAGCUGGUGCACUUGAUCCUGCUGUGGGGGGCCCUGGACGACCAGUCUUGCUGAGGUCGGGGGUGGACUCUCCCGGAGAAGGUCCUGGGAAGUUCGCUUAUCCUCAUCCUGCUCAAGGAGAGUUUCAUCAGCAUCUGGUCCCUGGUGAAGGAGCUGGAGAAGCUACAGAGCAACCAGGAGAACGCGGCCCAGCAGAAGUUGGCUGGCCUGCACCUGGAGAAGUACAGCUUUCCCGUGGAGAUGAUGAUCUGCCUGCCCAAUGGCACCGUGGUCCACCACAUCAAUGCCAACUACUUCUUGGACAUCACCUCCAUGAAGCCCAAGGAAAUCGAGAGCAAUCUCUUUAGCUUCUCACCCACCUUUGAAGACCCGUUCACGGCCACCUACAUGCAGUUCCUGAAGGAGGGACUCUGGCGCGGCCUGCCCCUGCUGCAGCCCUAGAGUGCCUGCGGGACGGAUGGGAUCUGAUGCACAGGCCCCCACUCCCCAGAGCCAGAGUGGUCCUCAGCCCACUGCUGACUGCAGAUGCCGCCUACACCCACCCACUCCUAGGUUGCCUUGGGGGCUACAAGAUCCACUGAGGGUGCCUGUCACAGCCUUGGCUCCAUGGUGGUGGGUAAACGAGGGGUGCUUGGGCUGACUGGGCAGAGGAACCUCUAGCUCUGACUGUCACCCUCUCCCUACCCACUUGGCCCUGGAAGCUGCUUGGGCCCCCCCAGAUCAGGGCCUGGGGGGACUCCUUGGACCUCUCCCAACCAGCAACACAGUCUAGGCCCUUGUGGGGUGAAGAAGAGGAGGGAAGAGCAGGCUAGGAGGGCAGGGCCACCAUCCUCUCCUUGCUUCCUUCCCCAAGGAAAUAUCCAGAAGCCCCGGGCAGGAGGGGCCAGGCUGCAAAUGUGGCUCUUCUGUUCUAGCGCCUUGGUUCCUGUCCAAACCCCGGGCUGCCCUCCUGUGCCUGAUGUCCCCAGCUGGGGUCAGCCUCAGCAGGACACAGCCUUCUGGAGCCUCUGGGCAGAACCCUCCAUCAGAAGUGGAAACCAGACUGAACCCCCUGUAGCUCCCCCGCCUGUCUGGGGAAGCUUACUGGGAAGAGGCUUCUGCCUUUAGCAAUGGGGUUCACUAAGAGGGUUCCUGAGGCUUAGGGCCAAGGCUCCCCCACUGCCCACCCCAGCACAGGGUCUCCAUGGGACUGCUGGAGCCAGGACUCCUGCCAUCCCUCCUGCCCCUCAGACCUCACAUCCACGGAAGCGUAGCCCAGCCAAAGAACAGCCUUCUCCAGAGCCAGCACUGUCCCGGCCACAGGGGUGCCCCAGGCUACCUCUUCUACCACUGGGGUGCCAUGGACUCCCCUUGGCCACUCUUGGGACUUUGGUCCACGUUCUGAGCCACUGACCACGGCCAGUCUCGUUUUUUAAUACAUGCAGAAAAGUGUUUUCACACAAACUUUCUCAUGGUUUGUAGGUAUUUUUUUAUAACCCCAGUGCUGAGGAGAAAGGAGGGGCACUGGCUUCCCCGGUAGCAGCCCCAUCCCAUGAUGGCUGCAUCUGAAAUCCUCGAUGGGUCCAGCUUGAUGUCUCUGCAGCUGCACCUAUGGAAAGAAAUAGUCGUCUCUUCUCUUCAGCUUUUUAAAAACAGCCCUCAGAGGAUUCCUGUUCUCCCCGCCCUCUCCCAUCCUCCACGCAGCCCAUGGGCGCCUGUGCACUCUCAUGCAGGCCUUGACGUCAGGCUGCCCCCUCCCAGGACCCUAAUUUUCUCCCCACCUCCUCACCCCCCCUAGGGCUCAUUCUUUAACCUGGCAGAGGAAGAAAGAAGCUACGUUGCAGCCACUCCCAGGCCUUCUGUCCACUGACUUCCCCUGCUUGCCUUGGGCGUUCCCACUGAGCCUUCCGCAGCCAAUCAUCUUCUCAAUU